UACGGAGGGUGCGAGCGUUAAUCGGAAUUACUGGGCGUAAAGCGUGCGCAGGCGGUUUGUUAAGCGAGAAGUGAAAGCCCCGGGCUCAACCUGGGAACCGCAUUUCGAACUGGCAAACUAGAGUCGUGUAGAGGGGGGUAGAAUUCCAGGUGUAGCGGUGAAAUGCGUAGAGAUCUGGAGGAAUACCGGUGGCGAAGGCGGCCCCCUGGACAAAGACUGACGCUCAGGCACGAAAGCGUGGGGAGCAAACAGG
rnacentral:rRNA from 1 species